GAAAACAAGGACACAUAAGAAAUACACUCUAUAGACUGAAUAAGGACAAAGCAGCCUCAGAGGUCACAAAUCACUGGGGCAUCAGGAGAGUCUUCCCUGCGUGGGGAGCACCUGACCUGUGCUCUAAGGGAAGCCAACAAAUGAUUUUCUGAGGGAGAGGUGAAGAAGAAGAGCCCUUCAGGCUUGGAGAGCUUAGACCACAGCCCAGAAGCCAGGGACAGAAUGUGAAGUUGAGACAACAGCAAACAGGCCAACUUUGCCAGAACACAAAGUACAUGAAAAGAGAUUAAAUUGAAAAUUGAUAAAUUUAGAAAAGAAAGCUCAAAGGCAGAUUAUAAAGGGCUUUCCUUACACAACCAUGGGCAGGUCACCUUCUUUGAGCCUCAGAUUCAUUAUUUGUGAAUUGGGGAUAAUAUUUGUACUAUCUGCCUUACAGAGUUAAAGUUAGGAAAGUACUUACAAAUAUUAAAUCAUCAGAGUAUGACUGAUGGUUCAGGACCCCCCGCCCAAGAACUUUAGAUUCACUAGAACCAAGUUCAGUCCUCUUUGUGGCUCUUAUUUCUACCCCCCAGGAACUCCUAGAAUAUGUAAUAUGUAAAACUUGGGUAUGGCUCAUUCACAAGGCAACUAGUUGGCUCAGUAGAUAGAGAAUUGGUACUGGUGUCAGGAAGCCCUGAGUUCAGAACUAGACUCAGACAUUUACUAGCUGUGCCAUCCUGGGCAAGUCUAUUAACCUCUGUUUAACUAAUCCACUGGAAAGGAAAAUUGCAAUCCACUCCACUUUCUCUGCCAAGAAAAAUCCAUGUGGAGUCACAAAGAGUAGGGUAUGACUGAAUGACUCAAUAACACCACCAACAAGUGGCUGGUGUCCAAAAGGAGACAAGUACCCCUCAAAUAAGUAACAACCAAGAUGGAUAUCUUUGGCUCAAGAGCAUGACAGGUCAGGAGCAGAUUGGGGACCUCAACUGGUGACAAUGCCACAUCAAGAAGUACUUCCUGAAGGUUCUACAGCUUUCCUUGGAGAAGACGACAAACAAAAAGAGGAAGAGCCCAGCUUGCAGGGACAGUGCUUCCCACCUGCAGCUCCUAGAGGUGCUGAAGGCCUGGGAGUGGGUCUCCUAAGAGGAUGCCCCUCCCUAGGCCUGGCUGCCUGACAGUGGAAGAGGAUGAAACUCGCCACAUACUUCUGGGCUGUUAUCUGAUCACCCUCUUCAAAUAUCUGAAGGGCUGUCUUUGAAGAAAGGAGAUGAGACUUGUUCUGGUUGGCCCUGGAGGGCAGAAGGAAGACCAACUUAAAGAAAUUACAGGAAGGCAGAUGGAUUUCAACUCAAUAUAUGGAAAAUCUUUCUAACAAUCAGAACUGUCCAAUCAUGGAGCUAGAUGUUUCAACAGAUACGUUAGAGAAUUCCCACUUAAGGGAGAAAGGUGUUAGAAUUUAGGGGACCCCACUUCCAUUAUAAAAAGAGAGAGAGAGAGAGA
rnacentral:lncRNA from 1 species